rnacentral:lncRNA from 1 species
AGACGAUUUCUGGGAAAGAUGAAGAUGAAAAUGGAAUAGACUUAGAAUAAACUUUCAAACCCACUAAACAAAGAAUCAAAGAUGAAGAUAAAAUUUACCUUGCUGUUGUUGCUAAAAUAAAGACGCCUGAAAGAUAGAGACGGUUUCUGGGAAAGAUGAAGAUGGAGAUGGUUUCUGGGAAAGAUGAAGAUGAAGAUGUAAUAGACUUAAAAUAUACUUUCAAACCCACGAAACAAAGAAUCAAAGAAGAUGGAAUUUACCUUGCUGUCGUUGCUUAAAUGAAGAAGGUUUCUAGGAAAGGAAGAUAGUGAAUUAAUUAUCGAGGAAGAUUGGGAAUUUCUGUUGGAAGUGGGAAGGAAGGAGACGGCUUUGUGAGAACUGAGAUGAGAAUGAGAUGUUAGGGUUAGGGAGGGAGGCCGAUUAGGUUAACUUAACUAUUUAUACUACUUUUUUUU